rnacentral:lncRNA from 1 species
GUCAGUUCUCUAGAUAACACAAUACAAUGUGACUGAUAACAUGCUGGGCUCCCAUCAGCAAGUCGCUGAUGCUGUCGCCAUCACAGAGUCCUAUAUCACCUCACCACUACAACAGUCUCCAUCACAGAGUCCUAUAUCACCUCACCACUACAACAGUCUCCAUCACAGAGUCCUAUAUCACCUCACCACUACAACAGUCUCCAUCACAGAGUCCUAUAUCACCUCACCACUACAACAGUCUCCAUCACACUGUCCUAUAUCACCUCACCACUACAACAGUCUCCAUCACACUGUCCUAUAUCACCUCACCACUACAACAGUCUCAUCACACUGUCCUAUAUCACCUCACCACUACAACAGUCUCCAUCACAGAGUCCUAUAUCACCUCACCACUACAACAGUCUCCAUCACAGAGUCCUAUAUCACCUCACCACUACAACAGUCUCCAUCACACUGUCCUAUAUCACCUCACCACUACAACAGUCUCCAUCACACUGUCCUAUAUCACCUCACCACUACAACAGUCUCAUCACACUGUCCUAUAUCACCUCACCACUACAACAGUCUCCAUCACAGAGUCCUAUAUCACCUCACCACUACAACAGUCUCCAUCACAGAGUCCUAUAUCACCUCACCACUACAACAGUCUCCAUCACAGAGUCCUAUAUCACCUCACCACUACAACAGUCUCCAUCACAGAGUCCUAUAUCACCUCACCACUACAACAGUCUCAUCACACUGUCCUAUAUCACCUCACCACUACAAGGAGUCUCCAUCACAGAGUCCUAUAUCACCUCACCACUACAACAGUCUCCAUCACAGAGUCCUAUAUCACCUCACCACUACAACAGUCUCAUCACAGAGUCCUAUAUCACCUCACCACUACAACAGUCUCCAUCACAGAGUCCUAUAUCACCUCACCACUACAACAGUCUCCAUCACAGAGUCCUAUAUCACCUCACCACUACAACAGUCUCAUCACAGAGUCCUAUAUCACCUCACCACUACAACAGUCUCCAUCACAGAGUCCUAUAUCACCUCACCACUACAACAGUCUCCAUCACAGAGUCCUAUAUCACCUCACCACUACAACAGUCUCCAUCACAGAGUCCUAUAUCACCUCACCACUACAACAGUCUCCAUCACAGAGUCCUAUGUGUGUGUGUGUGUGUGUGUGUGUGUGUGUGUGUGUGUGUGUGUGUGUGUGUGUGUGUGUGUGUGUGUGUGUGUGUGUGUGUGUGUGUGUGUGUGUGUGUGUGUG